GGAUGUGUCCGCCCUGCUGCACAGCCUUUGGGGGAUUAUGCCGGGGUGGAGUUCUGGUNNNNNNAUGCUGAAGAGACCAGGGGUGCUGUGUUCGAUGUGAGGCAGAGCCAUGCAGAAGUGUGGAGGUUUUACACUGGAGACAGAAAGCAUUCUAGUUUGCCAAUGAGUGUGUAAAGGACGGUCGGCGUAUAAGGCGAGACCAGUCAGUAUGCCUGGGAUGCUACACUCCUUAAUUUGUGUCCUGCCUGGUAAGCAAAAGGAAGCUCCAAGAAAAGCCACACUCGAGUCAACAUGAGUCUUGGGAACAGACAACCAUGGAAAGACCAGGAAGGCAGCUGUUCUCCAUGCANGGGAGAUGUGCAGACUCAGCGCUGUGUCAACGAGAACCNGUCUCUUCUCUUAAAAUUGAGAUAAGCAUUCUUAGAGAUAAGCAAAUAAAUCUCUUGGUAAAAUGCAUGCC
rnacentral:lncRNA from 1 species